GUCUUAAGACAAAUCAUAGAAUAUCAGGGUUAGAAGGGACCUCAGGAGGUCAUCUAGUCCAACCCCCUGCUCAAAGCAGGACCAAUCCCCA